rnacentral:RNase_P_RNA from 1 species
GGAGUUGGCCAGACAGCCGCCGCACCCACUGCGGAGGAAAGUCCGGGCUCCACAGGACAAGGUGCCAGGUAACGCCUGGGGGGCGCAAGCCCACGGAAAGUGCCACAGAAAAUAUACCGCCUAAGCGUUGCCGGCUUGUCCGGCGAUGCCGGUAAGGGUGAAAUGGUGCGGUAAGAGCGCACCGCGCGGGUGGCAACACCCGUGGCACGGAAAACCCCGCCUGGAGCAAGACCAAAUAGGGGAACAAUGGUGUGGUCCGCACCGUUCCCGGGUAGGUUGCUUGAGACACGCGGCGACGCGUGCCCUAGAGGAAUGGCUGUCCACGACAGAACCCGGCUUAUCGGCCAACUCCAACC